CUUCUUUGACAAUAUUAUUAUGUAGAUUAGUCUUCCGGUAAGAGACAACAACCCUUUGUCACCCACCUCAAUCUUUGAUUUUUCUGUUCAUAUUUCCAAAAAAUCAUGAUUUAAGACAAAAAUGGCUAAACAGCAUUAAUAGCCCUAAUUUCCAUCACGAUACAGUUGCAUAUGUAGUGAUCAUUUUAAGAAGGAUCACAUUAAUUUAACAUUAUGCCUUCCGCGCCUCAAAGACAAUGCCUGCCCAUCUAUCCCGGAUAUAAUAGUUCCAUCUACUUAUCAGUCAGUCAGUACACCAAACGUACAAAUAGUAACGGCUGGUUCAAUUAUGAACGUUUUGGCUCGUAUUGUCAAAAACAUAUUUAAAAACUAAAUUUUUCUUGUAAUAAUGUCUCAAAAACAUAUGAAAAAAAAAUUUUAUCUAGUAGAACGAUAAUCAAAUAUUUAAGACCAUUUAUAAAAAAAGUGUUAACUAGCCUAUUAAUUUUUGAUAUGUAUAACGUAUAACGUUGUAAAAAAAUUUAAGUUUUGCAACUUCUAUAAAUAAAUUUUGUUGAUGAAUUACGAUUUUUGUUUCCUAUUGCCUUGAGGAUUCAGUGCAUAAACUGUGCGACUUGGAGAGUUUAGUAUUAGGCUGGUGGUCUAGGACAACAUCAUAUUCAUCUGAUAGUAAUCGUUACACAUUCAAGACAUAUACACAGGCCACGUUCGUGAGUGCCAAUACAAAACAUUAUAUAGUUUAAAUAAUUUAUACUAUACAAUGUUUAUUAAAUACCACAGAGUAACCGGAGAGAGUCUUUACAAACUGCGUGCUGAAGCGUGCGUGCAACCCAUAAAAAAAACAAAAGUCACGCGUCUCCUUGCAUAUAAAAACAAUUACGUAAAUUGAUAUAAUAAUCAAUAAAAAAUUACUCCAUCUUAUUUCUUUAGUUUUAGAGAACAGUUUUUAAAAUAUUUAGAAACAAAUGAGGCCAUUUUUCUUGAAUAAUAUUGAAAAUUACUGAUGCGACGGUUCGUAUCUUACUGACAAGAGAACGUAUUCGUUUUUGAAUUUCAUAUUCGUAGCGGGUACGACACCGUCAUGUUACGUACGCUCCAUCUGUAUAUUAUUGAUUAAUCUGUGUUAAAUACAAAACACUUUAAUGAUAAAAUCAAUUGUAUGGAAUUUUAUAUUAUAAUAA